rnacentral:ncRNA from 1 species
AUCAACACAUUGACGGAGCGAGUAUGUAUCAAUGAGUCUAAAAAAGAGAGAAAUUUCCGUGGCUGAAAGAAAUUUCCAGACAGUUGUUACAGAAGGCUACUCCCGAGUGCAGCUAAUCCCUGCCGUUACUUCGCGUUAAGAAGGCUAAAGUGAUGAGAGUGAUUAAGACUUUCAUAACUAGGGUGGUACCACGGAACAGACUCUUCGUCCCUAAU